rnacentral:rRNA from 1 species
AGCAGCCGCGGUAAUUCCAGCUCCAAUAGCGUAUAUUAAAGUUGUUGCAGUUAAAAAGCUCGUAGUUGAAUUUCGGGGUUAGCAGGUCGGUCGUGCCAUCGGUAUGAACUGGUCUCGCUGAUCCCUCCCUCUUGACGAACUGUGAUGCCAUUAAUUUGGUGUCGCAGGGAAUCAGGACUGUUACUUUGAAAAAAUUAGAGUGUUUAAAGCAGGCUCACGCUUGAAUACAUUAGCAUGGAAUAAUGAAAUAGGACGUUUGAUCCUAUUUUGUUGGCUUCUAGGAUUGACGUAAUGAUUAAUAGGGAUAGUUGGGGGCAUUAGUAUUCAAUUGUCAGAGGUGAAAUUCUUGGAUUUAUUGAAGACUAACUACUGCGAAAGCAUUUGCCAAGGAUGUUUUCAUUAAUCAGGAACGAAAGUUAGGGGAUCGAAGACGAUCAGAUACCGUCGUAGUCUUAACCAUAAACUAUGCCGACUAGGGAUCGGAUGAUGUUAAUUUUUUAAUGACUCA